rnacentral:rRNA from 1 species
GAGUUUGAUCAUGGCUCAGAUUGAACGCUGGCGGCAGGCUUAACACAUGCAAGUCGAACGAUGAUUAUCUAGCUUGCUAGAUAUGAUUAGUGGCGGACGGGUGAGUAACAUUUAGGAAUCUGCCUAGUAGUGGGGGAUAGCUCGGGGAAACUCGAAUUAAUACCGCAUACGACCUACGGGUGAAAGGGGGCGCAAGCUCUUGCUAUUAGAUGAGCCUAAAUCAGAUUAGCUAGUUGGUGGGGUAAAGGCCUACCAAGGCGACGAUCUGUAACUGGUCUGAGAGGAUGAUCAGUCACACCGGAACUGAGACACGGUCCGGACUCCUACGGGAGGCAGCAGUGGGGAAUAUUGGACAAUGGGGGCAACCCUGAUCCAGCCAUGCCGCGUGUGUGAAGAAGGCCUUUUGGUUGUAAAGCACUUUAAGCAGGGAGGAGAGGCUAAUGGUUAAUACCCAUUAGAUUAGACGUUACCUGCAGAAUAAGCACCGGCUAACUCUGUGCCAGCAGCCGCGGUAAUACAGAGGGUGCGAGCGUUAAUCGGAAUUACUGGGCGUAAAGCGAGUGUAGGUGGCUCAUUAAGUCACAUGUGAAAUCCCCGGGCUUAACCUGGGAACUGCAUGUGAUACUGGUGGUGCUAGAAUAUGUGAGAGGGAAGUAGAAUUCCAGGUGUAGCGGUGAAAUGCGUAGAGAUCUGGAGGAAUACCGAUGGCGAAGGCAGCUUCCUGGCAUAAUAUUGACACUGAGAUUCGAAAGCGUGGGUAGCAAACAGGAUUAGAUACCCUGGUAGUCCACGCCGUAAACGAUGUCUACUAGCCGUUGGGGUCCUUGAGACUUUAGUGGCGCAGUUAACGCGAUAAGUAGACCGCCUGGGGAGUACGGCCGCAAGGUUAAAACUCAAAUGAAUUGACGGGGGCCCGCACAAGCGGUGGAGCAUGUGGUUUAAUUCGAUGCAACGCGAAGAACCUUACCUGGUCUUGACAUAGUGAGAAUCUUUCAGAGAUGAGAGAGUGCCUUCGGGAAUUCACAUACAGGUGCUGCAUGGCUGUCGUCAGCUCGUGUCGUGAGAUGUUGGGUUAAGUCCCGCAACGAGCGCAACCCUUUUCCUUAUUUGCCAGCGGGUUAAGCCGGGAACUUUAAGGAUACUGCCAGUGACAAACUGGAGGAAGGCGGGGACGACGUCAAGUCAUCAUGGCCCUUACGACCAGGGCUACACACGUGCUACAAUGGUAGGUACAGAGGGUUGCUACACAGCGAUGUGAUGCUAAUCUCAAAAAGCCUAUCGUAGUCCGGAUUGGAGUCUGCAACUCGACUCCAUGAAGUCGGAAUCGCUAGUAAUCGCAGAUCAGAAUGCUGCGGUGAAUACGU